rnacentral:misc_RNA from 1 species
GAUGAAGAACGCAGCGAAAUGCGAUAAGUAAUGUGAAUUGCAGAAUUCAGUGAAUCAUCGAAUCUUUGAACGCACAUUGCGCCCCCUGGUAUUCCGGGGGGCAUGCCUGUCCGAGCGUCAUUACAACCCUCAAGCUCAGCUUGGUAUUGGGCCCCGCCGACCCGGCGGGCCCUAAAGUCAGUGGCGGUGCCGUCCGGCUCCGAGCGUAGUAAUUCUUCUCGCUCUGGAGGUCCGGUCGUGUGCUCGCCAGCAACCCCCAAUUUUUUUCAGGUUGACCUCGGAUCAGGUAGGGAUACCCGCUGAACUUAAGCAUAUCAAUAAGCGGAAGA